UUGAGGGGCAUUUCGGAAACUCUACAGAAGUCCGUUCAAAGUGGAAAAGGUGCCAUCUGGAAGCAUUUUUCGUCCUGAAUCCAACGAAUCUAGUUUCAUGGUAAUCCGAGUUCGUUUGAGGCAUGAACUUGGCGGUUUUAUCUGAUUGCGCAGAAUCCUGCGGGAAUGGGGGUUUUCCUAUCUUAUCUAGAAUUCAUCCUUAUCUUGUGCAUGGGAAGUUGAGUUCGUGAGGGACUUGUAACUGGAGGUUG
rnacentral:lncRNA from 1 species